rnacentral:ncRNA from 1 species
GCAGAGUAGGAUUUUGUGCGUAAAGUGCCGGGUGAACAGGGAGUUGUCAUCCGGACGAAAAGCAAACUGCUUGCGAUAUGAAGUCCGCAUCCCGCUGC